UGAAGAUGUUGCUGCCACCUGAGGUGCAC
rnacentral:sRNA from 1 species